ACGAACGCUGGCGGCGUGCUUAACACAUGCAAGUCGAACGGAAAGGCCCUGCUUUUGUGGGGUGCUCGAGUGGCGAACGGGUGAGUAACACGUGAGUAACCUGCCCUUGACUUUGGGAUAACUUCAGGAAACUGGGGCUAAUACCGGAUAGGAGCUCCUGCUGCAUGGUGGGGGUUGGAAAGUUUCGGCGGUUGGGGAUGGACUCGCGGCUUAUCAGCUUGUUGGUGGGGUAGUGGCUUACCAAGGCUUUGACGGGUAGCCGGCCUGAGAGGGUGACCGGCCACAUUGGGACUGAGAUACGGCCCAGACUCCUACGGGAGGCAGCAGUGGGGAAUUUUGCACAAUGGGCGGAAGCCUGAUGCAGCAACGCCGCGUGCGGGAUGACGGCCUUCGGGCUGUAAACCGCUUUCGCCUGUGACGAAGCGUGAGUGACGGUAAUGGGUAAAGAAGCACCGGCUAACUACGUG
rnacentral:rRNA from 1 species